rnacentral:rRNA from 1 species
AACCUGCCCUUGAAGUAGGGGAUAACACUUGGAAACAGGUGCUAAUACCGUAUAACAACCAAAACCACCUGGUUUUGGUUUAAAAGAUGGCUUCGGCUAUCACUUUAGGAUGGACCCGCGGCGUAUUAGCUUGUUGGUAAGGUAACGGCCUACCAAGGCAAUGAUACGUAGCCGACCUGAGAGGGUAAUCGGCCACAUUGGGACUGAGACACGGCCCAAACUCCUACGGGAGGCAGCAGUAGGGAAUCUUCCACAAUGGACGAAAGUCUGAUGGAGCAACGCCGCGUGAGUGAUGAAGGGUUUCGGCUCGUAAAACUCUGUUGUUGGAGAAGAGCAGGUGUGAGAGUAACUGUUCACAUCUUGACGGUAUCCAACCAGAAAGCCACGGCUAACUACGUGCCAGCAGCCGCGGUAAUACGUAGGUGGCAAGCGUUGUCCGGAUUUAUUGGGCGUAAAGCGAGCGCAGGCGGUUUCUUAGGUCUGAUGUGAAAGCCUUCGGCUUAACCGGAGAAGUGCAUCGGAAACCAGGAGACUUUGAGUGCAGAAGAGGACAGUGGAACUCCAUGUGUAGCGGU